rnacentral:lncRNA from 1 species
UGAAAGUGGGUCUAACAUCAAGAAGCAAAAAAGAGAGCUCGUCCGACAAAAUUAAACCGUCUGAGAAGCUCAAUUUGAACAUGCAUAUCAAGAGAAAUAUCAACAAAAAGGUUGAUAUUUCAACCAACAAGUUCAGUGCUUCCAACCAUCGUAUGAGAUAUGGUGCGUUACUUUGGGAUUAUGCUCGAAAAAGCAAAAUGAUGAUGCGAUAAGUGACAGUGAGGUGACUGACCAUGUUACGAGUAGACUCGGUAGUCCGAAGAUUUUGAGAGACGUUGUUAGUUCAACUGUUCCUAAAAAAAGGCAUACAUAGACAUGGAUAUUACAUUUUAAUAUUUUUUGGUGCUCAUUACUAUUGUCUUUCUAUGAUUGUUGGUAUGAACAAAGUUUAAUUUUGAUAUUUAAGCAGUUUUUUUAUUUAAUGUUAUGCUAAUUUAACAGUUGUUUUGUAUUUCACUUUAUAAAUCUUGUUUUUUAUGAAGUUAUUUUGUAUUUCACUUUAACAGUUGGUUGACACAGUUGCAGUUGUGUCAACCAGAUGUACUGUAAUUUUUUUUUUUCAUAAAUCUUAUUUUUUCAGUAU